AAUUGAUCCCAGGGCUUCAUGCAUGUGAGUGCUGGAUAGAAGCCAUGGCCUCACACAUAGGCAACUCCAGAUGCUAUUCACGUGAUUGUGGCCUGUGCUACAGUCCCUGACUUUUGUCACAGCGGCAGGAUUGAUGCAAAGGAGCCCCAUUUUCAAGCCCUGACUCCAGAGGGGACAGAAAAGCCCUGGAGCCCCAGUCGCUGUUGUAUGGAGACAAUCCUGGACUUGUGUGAGCCUCAGAAAGCCUAGAACCAGGAGAGCUGGCCCAGAGUCAACCUUCUUAGGUCCCCAGUGAAGAUACCAGGCCGCACACUUCAGAGACCAUGAGGACUUCCGUGGAGGUCCUCUCCUGCUGUGCCAAGGAGAGUGACAUCUCCACAACUCAGCAAUAACUACGAGAAGUCUGAGCUUAUGUUCCUUCACUGCUAAGAAUUUCCUCUACAGCGUAUGUGCACAUUGUCUGAUGUGAAGAGACUCAUGGAGAUAGGCCACACAGUAAUGUUUACAAGUAGCAAAGGCUGGAGAUAGCCCCUAUACCCAGAGACAUUCUGAGUUUUGUUUUGUUUUUUUGGUGAGUCAUGGGGCUUGAACUCUGGGCUUGGGCG